AGAAUACAUGUGCCAUCCUUCUCUUGUAAUGCCAUUGAGUAUGGAAGAGGUUAAAGAUAGAUUGAGUCAGGUAACAAAAAACCCAACUCAGAAAAGGACAUUUACUGACUAAACAACCAAAGAAGUAUUAUGUACCUGCCUAUCAGACUGACAAAAUUUUUAAAGUCUGAUGUUAACAAUCAUUGGUGAGGAUGUGAAGAAACAAGACCUCAUGGUGAUGAGAAGAUAAAGAAAUACAACUACUUUAGAAAGCCAUUUGGUGAUGCAGAUCCAAAUGCCUUAUCUGUAAUUCAGAAACCCAGAAAGCUCUGAAAUCUGAAAGUUCUUUCUUAACUUAUUUGGUGGCAAAACUUGACCUGAUGUAAAAAUACAUGUCUUCAUUUAUCCCACUUAAUGUGGAUAUUUAUACUUCUCACCCCAGAAAAAAUAAUAUAUUUGAUUAUGGGCUACUUCUCAAAGCCUGCUGAGAUUAUUCUAUAUGGCACAUACGCAUAUUACCUUUCCAAAAUCCAAAAAAUUCUUAACACAUCUGACCCCAAGGACUUUGAACAACAUAUUGUAGACCUGAGUCUAGUAAAGUCAUACAUCUGGAC
ensembl:lncRNA